rnacentral:rRNA from 1 species
UACGUAGGGUCCGAGCGUUGUCCGGAAUUAUUGGGCGUAAAGGGCUCGUAGGCGGUUUGUCGCGUCUGCUGUGAAAACCCGAGGCUCAACCUCGGGCCUGCAGUGGGUACGGGCAGACUAGAGUGCGGUAGGGGAGAUUGGAAUUCCUGGUGUAGCGGUGGAAUGCGCAGAUAUCAGGAGGAACACCAAUGGCGAAGGCAGAUCUCUGGGCCGUAACUGACGCUGAGGAGCGAAAGCAUGGGGAGCGAACAGG